GGAUGGAAGCAUGACCUUUAUAUGACUUUGAUUUUCUUUUACAAAUGUGCUUUAUAAACUUGAAAAAAUAUUAGAUGGAGUGUAAAAUGUAAACAUCCAGAUUCAACUCCAGUAAGGAGUUCCUGGGUAGCUCAGUCGGUUGAGCAUCUAACUCUUGAUUUUGGCUCAGGGUCCUGAUCUCAGGGUUGGGAGAUUCAGCCUAGAGUUGGGUUCUGUGCUCAGCAAGGAGUCUUCCUGAAAUUCUCUCUCUCUCCUCUCCCUCCCCUUCUGCCCCUCUCUGCACUCAUGCAAAUGUAUAUUCUCUCUCUCAAAUAAAUAAAUCAUCAAAUUUAACUCCCAAUAAUGAAAAAGUCUAUUUUCAUUUUACAUUGGUAGGAACCAUACAGAGAAAAUAAUAUUCCAAGUGAAUGUUGAAUAUAAUACUCCACCUGUACAUCCUUAAUGGGAUAUAUUCUAAGAAUGAAAAGAACGCAAAGAAAUCUUUUUGGGUAGGGAGGGACAGAGGGAGGAGUGGGAGAAUCUUAAACAGGCUUCAUGCUCAGCAUGGAGCCAAACAUGGGGCUCAAUCUCACAAUGGGAUCAUGACAUGAGCCAAAAUCAAGAGUCAGAGGCUUAACUGACUGAGCUACCCAGAUGCCCCAAGAACUGUAAAAUCUUGAAACUAAACUAGAUAAUUUUAUUGCUAAUAGUAAUAUUCAUGUUAGAAUUAUCAGGCCCCAAGAUUUUCACUGCCAGAGAAAAAGAUAUAAACAUAAAACCAGAAGUUCAGAAAUACCUUUAUAAUAGUAAAUAUGAAUUAGAAAUAUUAACAUGAAGUCAUUUAAAAAUAUUUAAGAAUAUUUCCUAUAUUUGUCCAAGGAGAGAGCCUAGAGCUAAUGAUGCCCCAACUGGGAAAAAGGAAGAUUCCCAGGUAUACAUGAUCUCUCUCGCAAAAUUUGCACUAACACAACCUGCAAAGCCAGGUAAAUCCAACCCUCCACCUUUCAGGUAACCAGAGAAAAAUACAACUGGUCUAACUUAAGUCAUCACCCUAACCUUAAGUGGGUCUCAAUGCUGCCUCAUGUUUGUGGUAUAGCAAUCUGGUCCAUUCACUAUACUACUCUCUUGAUUAUUUCACACUUCCAAGUCACUUCCUUUACCCUGUGAUGGUUUUUGCUUCCUAAUCCCUGAGAAAAUGGAAACAGUCAGAAGAGAACUUGUUAGGCUCCUAUCACUGUAUCUACCCACCUAUACAAUUACAUCUGUUUUGGCUCAUCUGCUACUAUAGAACCUCCCUCUCCUCACAUAAGGCAGAACAUUUCAUGCCCUCCCAUCCUGCUCUCAGGGACAUGACAUCAUCAUUCACUGUCUCUGUUAUCAUCAGUUGUCUCACUAAAUUAUUCCUAUCAGUGUAUAAAUAUGUUAUCUAUUCUCUAGGAAACUUCUCCCAACCCUCAUGCCCCUUGAAAGGUAAUCACUAUUCUGACUUUUAUUACUAUUCACUAGUUUUGUCUGAUCUUAAAUUUCAUAUAAAUGCAUCAUCAUAUAUGUACCGUUGUGACCACUUAUUAUGUCUGUAAUAUGCAUCUAUUUUGUUGCAAUUAUCAAUAGUUUUAAAAAUUAUUGUAUUCAAUUGUGAGACUAUACCAUAAUUGAUUCAUAUAUUGAACAUUUGGGUGGCUCCUAGUUUUUGACUUAUGGAUAAUGCUGCUGUGACCAUUUUAAAAACAUUUAGGAAUACCUGUGCAUAUAUUUCUCCUGGGUAUGUACCUAGGUGAAUUCCUGGAUCACAGGGUAGGUGCAUGUCAUUUUGUACAUAGUGCCAUCAGUUUUCCUAUUGCCAAACAGUUUUCCAAAGUGACUGAAGUAAUUUACCUUCCAUAAGUAAUAUAUGAGAGUUCCAGCUGUUGCUUCAGAUCCCCAGUAAUAUUUGAUAUUGAUGAUCUUUAAUUUUAGCCAUUCUGGUAGGUAUGUUCUCUCAUUAUAUUUUAUUAUUUGUGUGACAAAGACUUCCUUUUCAUAUGCUUGUUGGUCAUUUGAAUAGCCUCUUUUAUGACAGACCUGUUCAGGUUUUAUGCCCAUUAAAAAAAAUUGAGUUAUAUGUCAUUUUCUUACAGAUUUAGAUAUGGGUCCUUUGUCAUGAUAUGUAUAUCAUGAAAAUCUCUUUGUGAUUUGCCUUUUUACUUGUUUGUUUUUGAUGAGUAUAGUUCUUAAUUUUAAUGAAGUCAGUCUUUUAUGAUUAGUGUCUUUUGUGUUCUGUUUGAAACUGUCUUGAAGAAAUUUUUCUGUUUCGAAAGUUGUAUUGUUUUACACAUUUAGAACUAUGGUCUAUCUCACGUUAAAUUUUGUAUACUAUGAUAGGAGUCAGUUUUAUUUUGUUCCAUAAAAUAUCCAAAUGUUCCAAUACCAAUUAUUGAAAAACUAUUCAUUCCCUUACAGACUUGCAUUGAUAAUCUGUCAUAAACUGGGUCUUAGAAUUUCUGACUAUUCUGUUCCACUGGUCUAUUUGUAUGUAUAUCUUUGUGCCAAUCCCACCCUGUUGUUACUAUAACUUUGCAUUAAAUCUUAAAUUCAAAUAUGUUCUUUUUCA
rnacentral:lncRNA from 1 species